CACGCUGUAAACGAUGAAUACUAGGUGUGCGGGGACUGACCCCUCGCGUGCCGCAGUUAACACAAUAAGUAUUCCACCUGGGGAGUACGAUCGCAAGGUUGAAACUCAAAGGAAUUGACGGGGGCCCGCACAAGCGGUGGAUUAUGUGGUUUAAUUCGAAGCAACGCGAAGAACCUUACCAGGGCUUGACAUCCUACUAACGAAGUAGAGAUACAUCAGGUGCCCUUCGGGGAAAGUAGAGACAGGUGG
rnacentral:rRNA from 1 species